UACAGAGGGUGCAAACGUUGUUCGGAAUUACUGGGCGUAAAGCGCGUGUAGGCGGCCCUUCAAGUCGGGUGUGAAAUCCCACGGCUCAACCGUGGAAGUGCAUUCGAAACUGCAGGGCUAGAGUCCUGGAGAGGAAGGUGGAAUGCUUGGUGUAGAGGUGAAAUUCGUAGAUAUCAAGCGGAACACCGGUGGCGAAGGCGGCCUUCUGGACAGUGACUGACGCUGAGACGCGAAAGCGUGGGGAGCAAACAGG
rnacentral:rRNA from 1 species